UGGACAAGAAAGUGGCCAGCACUGCUUAGGCGGCUUCCCACGACGCGCUUUGCUGAGUGCGGAACUUUAUCCUUCAGAUGAAGAUGCCAGAGUUGGGCAUCCCCAAAAAUCUGGAGGAAAAAAGCUAUGAAAAGCAAGAGGUGGUAGAGAAUGCUGUUGCCGAAAUUGCCUGACGUCACUGGAGAUAAUUUGCCCUGGAAAUAGCGCUCCUAAGGGAGAAGCAUCUGCACAUUCCAUUAGCAUAAAGCACCUGGUCGACCAUAUGAAGAAGUCUGGAUUUUGGUUUAAAUGUGAAGUUUAUUUUAAAUGGAGGAUUUGAAGCAAGGGAUAAGUUAUACCCUGACAUAUUUUAAAAAAUCACUUUGGCAGCUGUGCGGGGGACAAACUCUGGGAGGACAAGAGUAGAUGUGGAAGGGAGAAGGCGACUAAGAGUCUGUCCCAGGAUUGCAAAGAUUUCAGAGCCCUGCUUCAGAUUAUGAAACCUCAACUAAGUUGUCCAAGGACAGCCCUUGAAUAAUUUUAACUUCUGUCAGACGCCAAAGCCUAAGGACUUCUGUUUUACCGAGGCUGCGUGAAAUCUACCGUUGCCUAUCAGGAGCUCACUGCUAUAGGCAAG